GAUGAACGCUAGCGGCAGGCCUAACACAUGCAAGUCGAACGAGACCUUCGGGUCUAGUGGCGCACGGGUGAGUAACGCGUGAGAAUCUGGCUGUGGGUCGGGGACAACCACUGGAAACGGUGGCUAAUACCGGAUGAGCCGAAAGGUAAAGAUUUAUUGCCCACAGAUGAGCUCGCGUCUGAUUAGCUAGUUGGUAAGGUAAAAGCGUACCAAGGCGACGAUCAGUAGCUGGUCUGAGAGGAUGAGCAGCCACACUGGGACUGAGACACGGCCCAGACUCCUACGGGAGGCAGCAGUGGGGAAUUUUCCGCAAUGGGCGAAAGCCUGACGGAGCAAGACUGCGUGGGGGAGGAAAGUUUUUGG
rnacentral:rRNA from 1 species